CCUACGGGAGGCUGCAGUCGAGAAUAUUCGUCAAUGCGCGAAAGCGUGAACGAGCGAUGCCGCGUGCGGGAUGAAGGCCUUCGGGUUGUAAACCGCUUUUGUAUAGGAAAAAUUUCGAUGAUGGUACUAUGCGAAUAAGAGGUUACUAACUCUGUGCCAGCAGUAGCGGUAAUACAGAGACCUCAAGCGUUAUCCGGAUUUAUUGGGCGUAAAGAGCGGGUAGGUGGUUAUAUUAGUCAGAUGUCAAAUCUUCGAGCUCAACUCGGAAACUGCAUUUGAAACGGUAUAACUAGAAGGUGUGAGAGACCACUGGAACUCAUGGUGUAGCAGUGAAAUGCGUUGAUAUCAUGGGGAACACCAAAGGCGAAGGCAUGUGGUUGGCACAUUCUUGACACUGAGCCGCGAAAGCGUGGGUAGCGAAUGGGAUUAGAUACCCUUGUAGUC
rnacentral:rRNA from 1 species